CCCUCGGCUGCCCUUUUCCCUGCGGCCUCUGCCCGGAGUAGCACCCGCUGCGGAGCUCCGAACACGUGCGGAGUGGCCAGCUAUGGACUUAAGGCAGAUAUGACCCCAGGGAUGCAUGGUCACCAGACACUGGAUCUUGCAAGACUGCCAUUAGAGCCUCACUUUUGUACCUCCUGUCUCUGAGUCCAUUCUUUGGCAUUGGGUGGCAGAUACUUUAACCUGUAUGAGAAUGAGAAACCUGUCUUCAUCAGGACCUCAGACAUCUGACAACUUUGUGCACACCAAGACAAGUAAUGGCUGGGGAUGUCGCUCAAUGGCCCCUGGGUUCACUCCCUGGAACACCCCGACCCACCCUUAAAAAAAUUAAAAAAUUAGGUUGUAGCCUAGACAUGCACAGUUUCAGCUACUCAGGAUACUGAGUCAAGAGGAUUACAAAUUCAAGCAAAUUUAUGUCCUGUUGUCUUAAGAAGAUGAAGUAAAACAUUUGAAUAGUUUUUUUUAGGGGGGGGGGUUGUUUUUUUAAAUCUUUCUUUUCUCUUUUUAUUCUUUUCCCAUGCUUCAAUGGACAGUGGAAUUAGAUUGCCAGGGUUAUUUGUCUGUGAAUAUCCAAGCUGCUAACUGUUAUAGUUAGCAAUAAACACAAGUACUGGCCAGGUUUUAGGUCCCAAACCUAUACCAUAUUAAGAGGUAAGUAGGGGACUAUAAUAAGUGUUAUCACAGACACCUAUCAUUAUUUUGUGUUCUUGCUAAGUUCAAAGAAACUAAUGAAAGUGGUUUUCUGGGGGUUUUUUACAUUGAAAUUUUGGAUCCUGUCUCAGAUUUCAAUGGGGAAAACAAAGCCCAGAGGGGUAACUCUGUAAACCUCAAAGGGAUGCAAAAAGGUGGCUAAGUACCUAGGAAUUCACACAAAGGAAAACAACCAGCUAAGAGCAAUUAAUUAAGAACUUGAAAAGAGUGAAAAUGACUCCUGUGAAUCUUAUUGCUUAAUUAGGGCUUUAUGAGCAGCUCUAGUUAAUGGACUUGUCAAUAUACACAAUUUCACUGAAUUAACAAAUUAAUUGUGAUACUUAAAAUUUCAACUCAGCAACAUGUUUCUACUAACUACUAUUUAGGAGUAUAUAUAAGCCAACUUGCUGGGUUAUGUAUUUGUCAAUUCUGUAGCCUAAGGCCUGAUUCAAAGGAACCCCUAUUUAUUUGGCCUUCCUUGUCCUUCAGUAAAGCUCCUUUGAGGCGUGAGAGUGUUCCCUGCUGCAUGUAAAAGUGUUUAAAAAAUAUUUAUUAAAAAUGCACAACACCAAAACAAUAGCCAUAGGGGUCAUUAACAUCCAGGGAAACAUGAGCCUACCAAAGGAAGUAUCCCCUACUCCAGAGUAAUGGAGAUUUACAAGUUGCCUAGCAAUCCAAAAUAAGCUUGAGAUGCUCCAAAUUCUGGACCUGAAGAACACAGUGACUAUUUCUACCACACCUGUACUCCCUAGCACUUGGGAGACUAAAGCAAGAGGAUUGUGUGUGGCUAGCCUACAAAGGACUUCUCUUGAAAAUGACAGGAUGAAGCUGGUAGAGUAUGUUAGCAAGCAGAAGGCCCUAUAUUCAGUCCCCAGUAGCAUAAAAAUAAAGACCUUUAGCACACUUUAAAAAAAAAAAAA